rnacentral:rRNA from 1 species
AUGUCUCCGGCGGCGGCGGCGGCGCCACUGGACGACGAAAACCUACUCGCCGAGAUCCUCCUCCGCCUCCCGCCGCUGCCAUCCACCCUCCUCCGCGCCUCCCUCGUCUGCAAGCGCUGGCGCCUCCUCGUCUCCGACGUCCGCUUUUUCCGCCGCUUCCGCGAGCACCACCGCCACAGCCCUCCCCUCCUCGGCUGCUUCGUCGAAGGCGACCGAUGCGUCUCCUACACGCCCACCAUGGAUCCCCCCGACCGCGUCCCCGCCGAGCGCCUCUCGUUGCAGCUCGACGAGACCUGCCACUCCUGGGUCCUCGGCAGCCGCCACGGCCUCGUGCUCAUCUCCCCCAACUCACGGAAUCACGUCCUGGUGUGGGACCCCGCCACCGGCGAGCAGCACCGGAUCGCUUUUCCCCCAGGGUUCGUCGGGGUCGCGAACUCGAUCCACGGGGCGGUGCUUCGCGCCGCCGGCGAGGCCGGCCACUUCCAGGUGAUCUUGGUAGGGGUUGGCGGACAAGACAAGCAACACAUGCGAUUGCUCGCCCGCGUUUACUCGUCGGAGAAAGGCGUCUGGGGUGCUCUCAUCUCACCACUGAUUCCAUUCGAGGGAUAUACUACUAGGGGUAUUUUCGCCAUCUAUUUUCGGGGCUUCUCGGCUCUGAUGCUUGGGAAUUCCUUUUACUGGUGCCUUGGCGGGCGUUCGGAUGCAAUUCUCGAGUUUGAUUUGGAGAGGCAGACCCUAGAUGUGAUCCGAAUACCACCGUGUCUGUCUGAAGUGGACCUUCUCCAGUUCGCGGUUAUGCGGGCGGAGGGUGGUGGACUGGGUUUACUCUCCAUAUUAGGCUUCACCGCCCAAUUAUGGAAGAGAAAGACUGAUUGUAAUGGUGUUGCAUCAUGGGGGAUGGCAACAACUAUUGAACUGGACAAGCUACUUUCCCUUAAUCCAGAGAAGGAGAGAGUGCAACCCCUGAUAGAAAGGGCUUGCCGAGUACAAUAA